AGGAAAGGCGCUCACUUUAUAGUAACCCCCUCUCUCUCCACUCCCAUUCAAAUUUAAUUUCUUUCAACAGACACCAUCCUCCAAUUUCUCAUUUAUCCUUGUGGGGUUCUAUUACUGUUUUUUCUAACAGAGAUUCAAUAUUUUUCUAAAUUCUCUUUGUCAUUGUAAUACUCAAGUGAAAGAAAGGCUUCAAUCUUGCUAUAAUCGCAUUCAAUUGCUCAAUUUUAGAGGUUUCAGAUUGUAAAGGAUGAUUUUACCGGAUCCAUCAAUGGGGUUACUGGCCGCUAGUGGCGGUGAUACAGUGAAGCUAUUUGAUGUAUCAGAGGAGGAAGGAGAUCGUUGCAUCAUGAGUUACGCUCCAUCUCCGGGUUGCCUGGUUAACUCAGUCAAGUGGAAUCACACUAAUUUGGUUGUGGCUAGUGCUGGAGAAGAUAAGAAGAUAUCUCUAUGGAGGAAAAAGGGGCAGAGUAUGGGGACUAUUCCAGUUGCUGGGACAGAUAGUGGAGAUAACAUUGAUGAAUCUAUCUUGGCUAUUAGCUUUAGUCACAAGGGAUCGAGAUACUUAUGCUCAGGAGGAAGUGGUCAAGCUGUAAGAAUAUGGGAUCUACAGAGAAACCGCUGUAUUAAAUGGUUGAGGGGUCAUACCAGUACAAUAACCGGUGCUUUAUACAAUUGCAAAGAUGAGCAUUUGGCUUCUAUAAGUCUAAAUGGGGAUCUUAUUCUUCACAACCUUGCAUCUGGUGCAAGGGCAGCAGAACUCAAGGACCCUAAUGAACAGGUAUUACGUGUGCUUGACUAUUCAAGGAUUAGCAGGCACCUUUUGGUGACUGCAGGUGAUGAUGGAUCUGUACAUUUGUGGGAUACAACUGGUCGCAACCCGAAGGUUUCUUGGUUGAAGCAACAUUCUGCCCCUACAGCUGGCAUCAGCUUCUCACCAUCAAAUGACAAGAUAAUAGCUAGUGUUGGACUGGAUAAAAAGUUGUACACUUUUGACGCGGGGUCUAGAAGACCCUCAUCUUGCAUAUCUUAUGAGGCACCUUUCUCUUCAUUGGCAUUCAGAGAUGAUGGCUUGAUUCUAGCAGCUGGAACUAGCAGUGGCCGGGUGGUAUUCUAUGAUGUUCGUGGGAAACCACAGCCUUUCAAUGUUCUUCGUGCUUUUAGCAGUUCUGAGGCUGUCACAAGUUUAUGCUGGCAAAGAUCAAAACCAGUUGUGGUAAAUGAGAGCAAUUGCACUGCUGAGACAGCCCUUCUGGGAGGUGCUAUUGAAGAUUCAAUUCUUAUGCCUGACCCACUUCCCUCUGUGACAUUAUCAAGUGUUUCACUAUCCACUGUGGUGUCAAGUUCUCGUAAUACUGGUCGUUCCAGUCUUUCUAUAGAAUCGUCAUCUCUUACAUCAACCAGCAGUGGAUCUGCAUCAAGCAUUGCCAGUCUAUCUUUAGCAGAAGAAACCCCACACCGGAACCAUCUAUGGCUAGGUGGAACAUUGUCACGAUUAAAUGCUCCACGUUCUAGUUAUAAUUUUAAGGAUGACAUGGACGUGUUUUCGCCGGUUGUUGAUGUCCAGCCUAUCACACCCUCACUUGAUAAGCUGUGGGGUGAUAAUGAGGGAGCAAAAAAAGAUAAUCUAUCGGUUGAUAAGAAGCCCUCUUCCUUGUUUUCAUCAUCCAGCAGGAGAUUUCCUUUUUCUGAGGACGGGGCAAAUGAUCAUCCUAUAUUCGACUGGAAAACCAGUUCAACUUCCAGACAGGAUGAGACCCGAUCUUCUUUAUCAUUGUUGGGGGGAUCUACUCCUUCUCCAUCUUCAAACAGUGAAGAAUCCUCCAUCACUCCUCCAGAGGCUUGGGGCGGUGAGAGAAUAUCAGAUAAACUUGCCCACCAACGCCAGCCACUUUCUCGUUUUGGAAUGCUGGCUUCUGGGGGUUUGACAUCAGGGUCAUUGUUUUCUGGUUUGCAAGAUUUGUCCUCUUCGACGAGUCAGACAAUUAUGAGCUCAUUGGCGAGUUCGUACUUCAGCUUUCCAAAUAUACGCACCAAAGAUAUUUCUAUAAAUCAGGAGACUUUAACAGGACUUCCAGAAAAUAAUACUAGUUCCAUAUCUCAAUCUUUGGGUACAAAAAGCAACAUAGGACCAGCUGAUGCUGACCUGCCAGGACCAGGGAUUUUUACACUCCCUCGGAAGCUCUCUUCUUACGCUGAGAGGACAAGCACUGUUUCUUCCUUUGGUGAUGGGACAUCCCCAGCGGUAAACUCACCAAAAAUGAAGAAAACAGGAGCUGAAACCAGGGAAGAGCUUUUGAGUAGCUUGCUGUCGAGGUCUGACACAUUGGCUGGGACUGAGUCUGGAAAUCUACCAAUAAUGAAUGGAGGAAUGUCACAAGCAAAUAAAGCCCUUCAGCUGGAUCCACAACAGGGAAGUUCCUUCACGCUUCAGCUUUUCCAACGUACUCUCCAAGAAACUCUUGAUUCGUUUCAGAAAUCCAUCCAUGAAGAUAUGAGGAACCUUCAUAUUGAAAUUCUGAGGCAAUUCCACAUGCAGGAGAUGGAAUUUUCUAGUGCGAUGAGCUCAGUUCUGGAAAAUCAAGCUGAACUAAUGAAAGAAAUUAAGUCUCUUCGGAGAGAAAACCACGAGCUUCGCCAAUUGCUUUGAGAUAUAGUGAAAGCUGUAUUAUUUUUUGUGAUUGGUGAUGAGUUCUGGAAUCUGCUCGAUCGAAUAGUUCUGCACUUCAUUUGUGGCCUUCUGUUCUGUAGUAAAUACAGUUGCUUGCUGAAAGUUUGGAGAAAGGAUAAACAUUGAAGACGAGGACCACAAAUUCAAUGCAUCAUUAGAAUGUAGGGAUUCAGUUACAUGGAGCAAAUAAAACAUAAUGGACAAAGAAUCUCGUUAAAGAAAAAAAAGAACAUUAUCUUUCAAUCACGCCGGUGUACAAUCACUAUUCUGCAAAAAAGAAAAAAUGCUCACCUUCGAGUUUGCAGACUCUUCAACUUUCUCAAGGGUAGAACAUGAUGGAGGGUAUGUGGCGCACCUUGUCAAAGUCCUCUCCUUCUUCGUUGUUUAUGACUCGAAUCCUCUUCUCAAAUGCUUCUGGCAUUCAACGAACAUUGAACUCUUGGAGGGUACCCACAAACUUCAAUCCUUCUGGAAUUUUUCUCAAUUCUCUUAGAUUAUCUAUGUAGGCAUGGCAUUGCACCUUCUUCUACCAUCCAUUCUUCUAGUUUAUCUAACCAUUCAAGUUUAACAACUUCAAUUUGAGGAAAACUGUAAGCAGAACAUGCCAUUACAGAUCCUUUGUAUGAAUCUCCCUCUAGGGACAGAAACCUCAGAUUAAGGCGCUUCUCUAGAAUAGGCACUGGGUCUUGCCUCAAUGAGAACGACACAAAGUUAACUUAGUAAGUCUUGGAGGUAGAUAAACUUAGUAAGGCUUGGAGGUAGAUACUCAAGGUUGUGAUGCAAAGAUCGUACAUCUUCAGCUAUCUUUCCCUCACUUUUGCCAGUUGAUGACAAUGACAAAGGAUAAAGAAAAGGUGGGGCUAGUUCUUUUCA